CUCUUCCCAGUGGGGCUGGAGGAGUUUAAAGGAGAUGCAUCUCCCUCCAGAAGUGACCAGGAAUGAAAUGUUCUCCCAGUGCUCAUGCGGAACUGCACGUUGACAGAAGAAAACAACGGGUGUCUAUUCUCUGUCUGAAAGUAUUCCUGCGGCUCCAACUCAAACAAAAGCUAUCCCAAACAUAGCUGAAGAUAAUAAGCCAAAAAUUCAGAGGAAUUGCAUUCACUUUCACCAGGCAUGAUCUGACAGAGGUCAUGGGGUGCUCUAUCUGUGAUAACAUGACAACCUUGAGAAGACUUAGAUAUGCUUCUUUCAGAAUAUUCCACCGACCUUAUUUUUGCUGAGGAAGCAUGAAUUUGCUCUUGCUUAGGGUAUUUUCUUGGUACAGAUCUGCAUAGUUUCUUCACUUCUCCUUCCCUCAUCACCAGCAUUUCAUCACGUACAGUGCAUUUACAGAGUGAGAAGGCUGGCCUAGUGACAUACAGAAUUAAGCCUGACAAUGGCAGAGCAGUAGUUCUCUGAGCUGCAUUUGAAGAGUGACUGGGCAGAUUUUCGUAUGGCAAAUUUUUACACCAUACCUGUUCAUUUGUAUGCCUCCCAUCUUUUAAAGGAACAUAACAACUUCUUUGCAAAUGCAGUGACUCUUUAAGAAUUUCUCUACAGAAGAGUACUCUCAUUUUUCAGUCAAUUAAUUUCAGAUUAUUUAUUACAUACAGAAAAAUAAUUAUCCCCAAAGAUAAUUAAAUGUUUCAAGACUAAGGAGCAAAGCAAAUGUAGGUUGAAAGUCAUUAUGUACCGAUACAAAAGACUUUUUGUCAGUAAUUUAAUCAUGCAGACAUCCAAAAUAAAUUCUACAGAUCCUAUCCUCAUUGUCUACAGAGACUUCUAUCUGCAUAAAUAACCUCGUUGGACUAUCGUACUCUUGGCAUUUUGGUAAGGAACAGUUUUGAGUAGAUCUAUAUUAAGGCCAUAUUUUGAUCCAAGACACACUCAUGGAAUUGUCUCACUCCCCCCUCUCUGAUGUGGAGCACUACCUGGAGAAAACGAACAGCGCUGACUUUGAAUAAUCCAGCCUGGAGUGGGGCCAGGGCUUGGGCUCCUCCUUGCCAGCUGCAGGGCCCCAGUGCAGCAAGAGCUUCCAAAGGCUAUGUUGCCUCCACAAGUGCCAGAAUGGAUCAACACACUGGCUUCAGCCAGAAGUGGACUCAAAGUAGCUGUUGUUCCUUCUCCCUAAGGAACAUUUUCAGAGGAAUGCCUUAGAGGUAAGAACUAAGGUUCCCAAAAAGGCUAACCUCACGUCAGGAAGGACUGAAGCAUACUCAUUUGCUAAAUGCUCCAUAAAGGGUGACAUUCUUCAGUUACUUUUUGGAUAAAUCCCACUCUGCUUCUGAGAGAAUAUUUAUAGAGAACAUCUCCUGAGCAUCCUGCAAGUGACUGACACAGAUACACAUGGAUUUUGUUUAUUCUCGUCUGCCUUGGUUUAAAAUUUUAUACAUGUCCCCUAGGCACGACUUUGAUGCUGAUUUUUCUAGGGAAAAAAAAUGAAUACGUAAACAAAGAAGUCAUACAUAAAUAAAAUAGUAAAG
rnacentral:lncRNA from 7 species